UGGGAAGUAAAAUGGGGAGUAUGUCCUGG
rnacentral:piRNA from 2 species